rnacentral:lncRNA from 1 species
CCAAGCAUCAUGAGCGGCCCUUCUCAGACGAUGGGAGGAGGGGCAUACAUGAAUAGAGCACCUGGAGGUUCUGGUGAUACAUGCUAUAAGUGCAAUCAAACUGGGCACUGGGCGAGAGACUGUCCUGGGCUAAGUGGGGUUCCACCUGCCUAUGGAAGCAGUGCCGCAACACCUGGAGGUUCUGGUGAUACAUGCUACAAGUGCAAUCAAACUGGUCACUGGGCGAGAGACUGUCCUGGGCUAAGUGGGGUUCCACCUGCCUACGGAAGCAGUGCCGCAACACCUGGGAGGUACGGCAUGGUUUCCAGGGAAAGGGUUGGUGGGUUUUGAGAGUAAUGUAAAGGAGUCAGCUCUUGCUUAAAACAUUUCUUAUCCUGUUCUUUUGGAUGUGAGCGGAUGGGGAAAGCGUUCUUCACAGUUCCCCAU